GGUCAACUAUAUUUGGUGUAUGGAAUGAUUGUAAGGUGUACAUGUCUAGCUGGCAGAUGUCAUCUGACCUUGACCUCAUUUUCAUGGAUCAG